AAUGUUGGUGGCCUGCCGCUUUUCAGGAGUUUUGAUCAUACGCAGGGGCAGUGAUUCUCGCCGUGUAGCUUGACCCAUUUGGUCUGUUGAAGACCCUGACUGUGGAGGCUGCUGGUAUCGAAAGUCAAAUCAACAGAAGGAAGCUUAGCUGAGAACAAAUUGUGAGGAAGAGUCGACUUCAAUUGGAGUUUGAACACGUAGUGCUGAAGGUGAGGAUGCUUAAGCAGUUCUGAAGCCUGAAACAAAGGAAACGGGAUGCAUAGAUAAGUUCAGACUUCAGGGUGAGUUGCAAGUUGCUGUGAUAGGGGUGGUGGUGAACCAACACAUACACUUGGUCUGUGAUCUGGACUUUUGCGCAACAUGCUUUUCACGAGUCCCCUACUGUAUUAUCAGAAAUAAAUAUUUAUGAACAAUUCGUACUAAAGCCAAAAAGGUAUUA